rnacentral:misc_RNA from 1 species
GUAGGGUUAUGCAUGAUUCUUGGGUACUUUGAACUAAACCGGAUAAUUAAAAAAAAAUAACCGACACCAUAAGAACCGAAUCCAACUGAACUUAAGAUAUUAUUUUGGUUUAGUUUUACUUCUUUACCAAAGCCUAAAUUGAAUAGAGAACCAAACCAAAUCGGACCUGAACCAACUGAACUGAAGCCAAAAUCAAUUUUAUACAUUUUCAAUAUCUUUUACAAUGUUAAGUUGGAGAGUGUUUGGCAUAUUACUCUUUAAUACAUUUUUAAUAUGGGCUUAUAUAAGUAAUUGAACUACUUACACAUCACAAC